AUUUAUAUAUUGUGUUGGUUUGAAUGAAUUUUUUCUCAAGUUUUUAGAGGAUGGACUUUAGAUAAGAUGUUCAACUUUUAUACGCCAAGCAUUGAUUGUAAGUCUUGUACAUGGAAAAAAUAGAGACAAGAAAUUAAGAAUAUGAUCCAUUUUGGUCGGCCUUAGCUUGAUUUUUCUAGACAUCAAUUUUCUCUCUUACCAAAAGUCCGACUUAUUUUAGGCGGAAGUUUCCUUGAUUAUUACUUGUAUACAAAAUUCCAGGAUCAUUAAAUUGGAAUAGGUCCCUUACUAACCUAAUUAAUUGGAAUAGGAUGAAAUUUCUUCCCAUCCACACUAAACGUUGUGUACACUCCAAAUUUUUCUGCAUCUCAUAAUUAUACGUUAUUGAUAGGUGUCAUCCAAGUCCAACAUGAUUGAGAUUUGUAAUUGAGACUAUGGCCCAGAAGCUUUACUAUUCAAUCCUCUGAAAUCAUUUCGCAGCAUCUUUUGUUUCGUCAAUCUUUACCCUCUCACUUUGGUUUUAUUUUGCUCUACUUUUCAAAAAAAAAAAAGAGUUUGAUACUUUCUACUUUGCGCCAUUAAUUUUCGUUGUAGUCAUCCUCUUAGUUUGGUUUUGCUUUGCUCCAGUUCUUAAAAAAAAAAAAAAAAAAUUAUAGUAAAGAGUGAGAUUUUCCAACUUUUUACCUUAAUCUUCGUUGCAGUUUUUUGUGUUAUCAUCCUUAUCCCAUCGUUUUAAUUUUACUUUGCUUCACUUCUCAAAAGAAGAAGAAAAAAAUAAAGAAAAAAGAAGAAGAAAAGUCCAGCUAUAGCUUAAUCGUCACCGCUGCUCUCAUUUACUAUAGCCACUAUCCUUGAUCUGCUAAAAUAAGAGAGUUUGUUCUACUUAUCAUUUGUCAAGACAGACAAGUAAGGAAAAAGAAGAAGGAAAGGAAAUUAAGAAAGAACGAAAGAAGGAAGAAAGGAAGGAAAGAACAAGAUGUCAUCUACUGUUUCCCGUUUUCUGAUACUCGGCAUAGUGAUUGUCCGAGUCUAAAACAACCUGCGGCUCUGAUUCGCUUUCAGCUUUCUUGUGUGUUGCACUAACGGCACGUGUGAAGACGGUAGGAGACCAUUAUCUUCAAUUAUUCCAAACAUAGAGCCAUUGUUUUUAAUUGGCCUUUAUUUGCCUAUACUCUCAAGACAGCAGCCCAACCCAAAAAGAAGCAACAAAAUGGAGUUUCUUACGGAGACCGUAAAAGUAUUCGUUGAAAAAACUGUGGGUUACACAAUUGCAGGAGUCGGACGUCAGAUAGGUUACCUUCGCUACAAAAAAAAUGUUGACAUUCUAAAUAACAAAUUUGAGGAUCUCAAAGGUGCUAGAGAUAGUGUGCAGCGUAAAGUUCAAGCUGCUAGUUACAAUGUAGAAGAAAUUGAAGCUAUCGUCCAGAGGUGGCAGACACGUGUUCAGGGGAUCACUGCAGAGGUAGAAGAAUUCGUUGAAAAGGAAGGCCAAGCAAAGUUGAAGUGUUUUAAUUUGAAGGCCCGUUAUCAGAUUGGAAAAAAAGCACACAAGAUGGGAUUGAACGUCAAGGAACUCAAGGAUGAGGCGGACACGUUCCAUACAGUAGGCCACCGUGUCCCUAUAGAAGGGGGUACUACUAUUUCUACUAAAGGUUAUGAGGACUUUGAAUCAAGAAAAUCAAUUUUUGACGGAGUUAUGGAGGCUCUAAAAGAUGAUAAUAUUCCUGCCAUUGGGGUUUGUGGGAUGGGCGGCCUGGGCAAAACCAUGCUUGUUGGAAAAAUUGCAACACAAGCCAUGAAAGACAAGUUAUUUGAAAGGAUUGUUACGGUAGUUGUAUCCCAAACUCCAAACUUGAAACAGAUUCAGAAAGACAUUGCAAAAGAAUUAGAGUUGAAGUUUGAAGAUGAGGACACUGAUUUUAAAAAAGCACAUUUGCUACGCGAGCGGUUGAAGAAAGAGAAGAUCCUUUUAAUUGUAGAUGAUAUUUGGAACAAGAUUGACUUGGACGCUCUUGGAAUUUCUUUCGGGGACAAUCGCGAAGGAAGCAAACUAUUGCUAACAUCUAGAUUCCGAGGUGUAUUAGACAAGGCUAUGGAUGUUGAAAAGAUAUUCCAAGUUGAAGUUCUAUCAAACGAAGAAGCUAAAUUCUUGUUUGUAAAGAUAGUGGGCGAUUUUGCUGAAACCUUGAAUUUCCAAUCUACCAUGGUUGAGGUUGUCAAAGAAUGUGCAGGCUUACCGAUUGCAAUUACAACAGUUGCGAAUACAUUGAAAAAUCAAAAGAACCCAAAUGUUUGGAAGGAUGCCUUGCAACAGUUAAAAAGGGCAAAUCCAACACAGAUCAAUGGGAUGCAUGAGAAGGUAUACUCGAGUAUAAAGUUUAGUUACAAUUUUUUAAGUAAGGAAGCGCAAUCUUUAUUCUUGUUCUGCAGUUCAUUUGAAGAAGAUAUGGUCAUACAAAUAGAUCUCUUAUGGAGAUAUUUGGUGGGUUUGGACUCUUAGAAGAUGUUUAUAAAAUGGAAGAAGUGAGGAAUAGGGUCCACACGUUGGUCGAAAUUCUAAAAGAUUCUUGCUUGCUGUUAGAAAGUUAUAGGAGUGGUACAUUUAAAAUGCAUGACGUCAUUCGUGAUGUUGCCAUACAUAUUGCAGACAAAGAAAAGAAAAUGUUAACCAUAAGAAGUUCAGAUGAUUUGGAAAAAUGGUCCAAUAUGAAAAAAAUGAAUGACUCCAUUGGAAUCGCACUUUUUGAAACCAAGUUUAGUGAGCUUCCUGCAAGGUUGGAAUGUCCUCAACUUAACUUCAUUAUUUUGGGUGAUAAAGAAAAUUCUUUGCAGAUUCCUAAUCACAUUUUUGAAGGGGCAAAAAAUCUGAAAGUUUUAGUUUUGAUGAGACCAAGUCUCCCACUUCCUUCAUCCCUUUCACUUCUUCAGAACCUCCAGACAUUGGCUUUACUUGAGUGCAAGUCAGAAGACUUGGCUUUAAUUGGAGAAUUGAAGAAUUUGAAAGCUCUUGUCCUAGUUGAUUCCAAGAUUAAGCAGUUACCCAUAGGAAUAAGGCAAUUGACUCACCUUCAAUUGUUGGAUUUGAGAAGGUGCACCGAACUUGAAGCCAUUCCAUCAAAUGUAAUAUCAAAUUUAAAAAAUUUAGAAGAAAUACACAUGAAUCAAAGCUUUAAUCAAUGGCAGGUUGGCGGAGAAAUUACAGAAAGAAGCAAUGCUAGAGUCUCAGAGUUAGAUCAUUUAUUACACUUGACCACAUUAUGUAUACAUAUUCCGAAUCCCAAUAUUCUACCAAAUGCCUUACCUUUUAAAAAGUUGGUAAGAUAUGAAAUAUUAAUAGGCCCUGAUUGGGAUUGGGAUAGUAAUAGUCGUAUUGAGUUUGAAAUCUCAAGAACAUUGAAAAUUGACCUUGAUAGAAGCUUUCAAGAAGAGGAUGGAAUUAAAAUUUUAUUGAAAGGUUGCGAAUAUCUCACUCUGGCUCCUGGGAAGGGUAUUAAAAAUAUUCUUUAUGAAGUUGAUAAGGAAGGUUUUCCUCGAUUGAAGCAUCUUUAUGUUCAAAACAGUGUUGAGAUUCAAUACAUCAUUGAUUCGAUAUGGUUUCAAUGUGUUGCCUUUCCUGUUUUAGAGUUACUUUCUCUAGUUAAUAUGAUCAAUUUGGAAAAGAUAUGCCAUAACCAACUUGCAAUGGGGUCUUUCCACAACUUGAGAAAGUUAGAAAUAAGAAAAUGUGAUAAUUUGGUAUUUGUCUUCUCCUCAACCUUGCUCAGAUGCUUUUCGCAACUCCAAGAAAUAGAGAUUGAGGAUUGCAAGGUAAUGAGUGCAAUUGUUGCAGAGGAAAGAAAACAUGGGAUACAGGUUAAUGAUGACAUCAUUACGGAUACAAUUAACUUCCCUCAAUUGCGUUCUUUAAAUCUGAAAAGAUUACCAAAUUUAAUGGGCUUUUGUUCUAAUGUUGAUUCUCAAUCACUUUUCAACAAAAAGGUUGCAUUUUCUAACUUGGAGAAUCUACACAUCGAUGCCAUAUAUAAGCUGGAGAUGUUGUGGCACAAUCAACUUGAUCUAGAUUCUUUUUGCAAGCUAAAACAAUUGCGUGUUGAUGACUGUGUAAAUCUAAUAAAUAUUUUUCAGCCUAAUAUCUUGAGAAGACUCUCGAAUCUUGAAGAUUUGCAGAUAAGAAAUUGCAAUUUAGUAGAAGAUGUAUUUGAAGUUCGAGGGAAAAAUGGUGAUGAAAUAUGUGAUAUGGUGGUAUCCACUCAGUUCAAAGUCUUGAAGUUAAUCAAUCUACCGAAUCUUAAGCAUAUUUGGUCUUCAGGUCCCCAAGCAAUUUUAACAUUUCAAAAUCUGCAUGAAGUUGAAGUUUCUAACUGUAAAAGUAUGAAAAGUCUCUUUCCAACUUCGGUGGCCAAAAGUCUUAAACAACUGAAGAAGCUAAAAAUACACGAUUGUGGAAUGGAGGAAAUUGUUGCUAUGGAAGAAGGAUUGGAAACAGUGACUAAGUUUGUGUUCCCACAACUAGUCUCUCUAAGUCUUGAAUUGAUGCCUGAGCUCAAGUGUUUCUAUCCAGGAAAACACACUAUAGAGUGGCCAUCACUAAAACAGUUGAUGAUACUCAAAUGCGACAAAGUGAAUAUUGUUGCUUUGAAUGAAUUAAGCUUCCCAAAUACAGAUGGGUUGGGCCAUGAUGUUCCGAUUCGGCCUCCCUUUUUCCAAAUUGAAAAGGUCGCAUUUUCUAACUUGGAGGAUAUAUGCAUCAGUGACAAAGAUAACCUAAAGAUGUUGUGGCACAAUUAUCAACUCGUUCCAGAUUCCUUUUGCAAACUAAAAAAGUUAGGCGUUGCAAGAUGUAAAAAUCUAAUGAACAUUUUUCCGCCUAAUAUGUUGAGAAGACUCCAAAAUCUUGAAAAUUUGGAGAUAAGGGAUUGCAAUUCGGUAGAAGAGGUAUUUGACAUUAGGGGGGAAAAUGUUGAUGAAAUAUGUGAUACAAUAUCCAAUAAGUUGAAAGUCCUGACUUUAUUCAAUCUUCCGAAGCUUAAGCAUGUAUGGAGUUUGAAUGUCCAAGCAAUUUUGACAUUUCAAAAUCUGCAUAAUAUUAAAGUUUCUAACUGUAAAAGUUUGAAAAGUCUUUUUCCAGUCUCAGUGGCCAAAAGUCUUGAACAACUUCGGUACCUGGAAAUACGCAAUUGUGGAUUGGAGGAAAUUGUUGCUAUGGAAGAAGGAUUGGAAAUAGUGACUAAGUUUGUGUUCCCACAACUACUCCGUCUAAAGCUUGUUUCGUUACCUGAACUCAAGUGUUUCUAUCCAGGAAAACACACUUCAGAAUGGCCAUCACUAAAGUAUUUGCACAUAUCUAAAUGCGACAAAGUAAAGACUUUUGCAUCGAAUGAAUUAAGCUUCUCAGAUACAAACGAGUUGGGCCAUCAUGUUCAAGUUCAGCAACCCCUUUUUCUGUUUGAAAAGGUAUGGACUUGUACUGGUUUAUUCGUUAAUGUGUAUACAAGCAUAUAACACUUAGUGUAAUUAUCCAAAGAUUAAAACUAAUACUAUAACAAUUUGUUAAUCAAUAGGUCUAGGUACACCAAUAAUUCCACCAAAAUGUUUGAAUAUUUUCUUUUUUUUGUUAAACUACGUUAAAAUGUUUGAAUUGUAUUGCUU